CCUACGGGAGGCUGCAGUGAGGAAUAUUGGGCAAUGGGCGCAAGCCUGACCCAGCAAUGCCGCGUGAAGGAAGAAGGCUUUCGGGUUGUACACUUCUUUGACAGGGGAAGAGCAGAAGACGGUACCCUGAAAACAAGCCACGGCUAACUACGUGCCAGCAGCCGCGGUAAUACGUAGGUGGCAAGCGUUGUCCGGAUUUACUGGGUGUAAAGGGCGUGUAGCCGGGAAGGCAAGUCAGAUGUGAAAUCUGGAGGCUCAACCUCCAAAUUGCAUUUGAAACUGUUUUUCUUGAGUACUGGAGAGGCAGACGGAAGUCCUUGUGUAGCGGUGAAAUGCGUAGAUAUAAGGAGGAACACCAGUGGCGAAGGCGGUCUGCUGGACAGCAACUGACGGUGAGGCGCGAAAGCGUGGGGAGCAAACAGGAUUAGAUACCCCAGUAGUC
rnacentral:rRNA from 1 species